AGGAAGUGACUUCUGGUUUACGGGCGCACAUGAGUUGGUUGAACAAAUUCAAAUGAAUCGUCUCGUUUCGUCGUAGCUACUUGUCUUCCUACAAACAGCUAUUCAAAAGGAACGUAUCAGAAUAUGGAGCAGUAGGCAAUGCCAUUACAGUGCACGAUUUCUCAGAGAAGAUUCUGAAGCAAACGGUUCACUUUCACGUCAUGAAACUUAAUGUUUUUUUCCCCCCUUUUGGUCGGCUCGAACCCUGGACUUGUCCAACUUGGCUGUUUCAAUGGAAAGUAAAUUUGAUUUGAUGCCGCUGUCUACCUUAGUCCUGGGGGACCCAUCUGAAACCACCCAGAAUUCACUGGCGCAGAGAUUGACUAAGAGGACUAAGAAACAGGUGUUUGUGAGCUCCAAUCUGCCCAUGACCGACUCAAACCUGUCUCUGCUGGUGGAGAAUAGGAUAAAGAAGGAGAUGGAAGUUCACGCUGAUACAUUUAUCUUUUACCCCAUUUUAUAUUGACUUUUUACCGAAAUAAUACAAUGGAUAGAACAACAUUA